rnacentral:rRNA from 1 species
ACGUAGGGGGCGAGCGUUAUCCGGAAUUAUUGGGCGUAAAGAGCGCGUAGGCGGUUGUUUAAGUUGGGGGUGAAAGGCCACAGCUUAACUGUGGUAGGCCUUGCGAACUGGAGGACUUGAGUGCCGGAGAGGAAAGUGGAAUUUCGAGUGUAGCGGUGAAAUGCGUAGAUAUUAGGAGGAACACCAGUGGCGAAGGCGACUUUCUGGACUGUAACUGACGCUGAGACACGAAAGCGUGGGGAGCAAACAG